rnacentral:rRNA from 1 species
CCUAAUACAUGCAAGUCGAGCGGACAGAUGGGAGCUUGCUCCCUGAUGUUAGCGGCGGACGGGUGAGUAACACGUGGGUAACCUGCCUGUAAGACUGGGAUAACUCCGGGAAACCGGGGCUAAUACCGGAUGCUUGUUUGAACCGCAUGGUUCAGACAUAAAAGGUGGCUUCGGCUACCACUUACAGAUGGACCCGCGGCGCAUUAGCUAGUUGGUGAGGUAACGGCUCACCAAGGCGACGAUGCGUAGCCGACCUGAGAGGGUGAUCGGCCACACUGGGACUGAGACACGGCCCAGACUCCUACGGGAGGCAGCAGUAGGGAAUCUUCCGCAAUGGACGAAAGUCUGACGGAGCAACGCCGCGUGAGUGAUGAAGGUUUUCGGAUCGUAAAGCUCUGUUGUUAGGGAAGAACAAGUGCCGUUCAAAUAGGGCGGCACCUUGACGGUACCUAACCAGAAAGCCACGGCUAACUACGUGCCAGCAGCCGCGGUAAUACGUAGGUGGCAAGCGUUGUCCGGAAUUAUUGGGCGUAAAGGGCUCGCAGGCGGUUUCUUAAGUCUGAUGUGAAAGCCCCCGGCUCAACCGGGGAGGGUCAUUGGAAACUGGGGAACUUGAGUGCAGAAGAGGAGAGUGGAAUUCCACGUGUAGCGGUGAAAUGCGUAGAGAUGUGGAGGAACACCAGUGGCGAAGGCGACUCUCUGGUCUGUAACUGACGCUGAGGAGCGAAAGCGUGGGGAGCGAACAGGAUUAGAUACCCUGGUAGUCCACGCCGUAAACGAUGAGUGCUAAGUGUUAGGGGGUUUCCGCCCCUUAGUGCUGCAGCUAACGCAUUAAGCACUCCGCCUGGGGAGUACGGUCGCAAGACUGAAACUCAAAGGAAUUGACGGGGGGCCCGCACAAGCGGUGGAGCAUGUGGUUUAAUUCGAAGCAACGCGAA